AUGCAUGUUUGAAAAGGAGUAGUAAGUAGCGUUCUUUUUUUAGAGAGUACAUGGUUGGUGAAAAUGUACAAAAGACCUGUUGAACUCGCCUUUGAGUGUAUUGUUUUCUUAAAGCUUUAAUCAAAAGUGUGUAGAGAAGACACGGUGUCGGCCGUUACAACGAUUGAGGUUGGAGCAUGUCCAACGAAUAUAGGUGGUACCACGUCAAUUACGUCCUAUAA
rnacentral:ncRNA from 1 species